GGGCAUGUAGCUCAGUGGCAGAGCGGCUGUCUUAUAAACAGCAGGUCCCAGGCUCGAUCCCUGGCAUGCCCA
rnacentral:tRNA from 1 species